GAUGAACGCUGGCGGCGUGCCUAAUACAUGCAAGUCGAGCGAACGGACGAGAAGCUUGCCUCUUUGAUGUUAGCGGCGGACGGGUGAGUAACAAGUGGAUCACCCUCCUAUUAGAAUGGGGUUAACUCGGGAAAACGGAGCUUAUAACGGAUAAUAUUUUGAACCGCCUGGGUCAAAAAUGAAAGACGGUCUUGCUGUCCCAUUUAGAUGGAUCCGCGCUGCAUUAGCUAGUUGGUAAGGGAAAGGCUUACCAAGGCAACGAUGCAUAGCCGCCCUGGGAGGGUGACCGGCCACACUGGAACUAAGACACGGUCCAUACUCCUACGGAGGGCAGCGGUGGGGAUUUUUCCGCAUUGAGCGAAGGCCUAACGGGGCACCGCCGGGUGGGUGAUGAAGGUCUCCGGAUCUUAAAACUCUGUGAUUAGGGAAGAACAGAUGUGUAAGUACCUGGGCGCAUCUUGACGGUACCUAGUCAGAAAGCCACGGCUAACUACGUG
rnacentral:rRNA from 1 species